rnacentral:rRNA from 1 species
AUGCGGAGCUCGAUGGCCUGGUCGCGAACCAUGGCGCCGCUGGCAAUGCUGCUCGUCUCCACCCUCUUCGUCUCCUCCCAUGCUUCCUUCGCUAUCCCUAUCCAAGCUGCCGCCGAUGACUUCCUCCGGUGCAUGUCGGCGUCCGUCCCAGGCAACCUUCUCUUCCCCCGGAGCUCGCCGUCGUUCGCGUCGGUCCUGGCGUCGUCAGUCCGGAACCCGCGGUUCCUUGGGCCGGCCGUGGUGCGGCCUCUCUGCAUCGUCACGGCGACGAACGCGUCCCACGUCCAGGCCGCCGUCGUGUGCGGCCGCCGGCACGGCGUGCGCCUCCGCGUGCGCAGCGGCGGGCACGACUACGAGGGCCUCUCGUUCCGGUCCGCGCGCCCCGAGGAGUUCGCCGUCGUCGACCUGGCCGCACUCCGGUCCGUGCGCGUCACCGUGCGAGAGCCUGCCGAGGCGUGGGUGGAGUCCGGCGCCACGCUCGGGGAGCUGUACCACGCCAUCGGGAGGGCGACAGACCGUCACGCGUUCCCGGGGGGCCUCUGCCCGACGGUCGGCGUCGGGGGCCACCUGAGCGGCGGCGGCUUCGGCAUGCUGCUGCGCAAGUACGGCGUCGCCUCCGACCACGUCAUCAACGCCGUGAUGGUGGACGCCGAGGGGCGGCUCCUGGACAAGCAGGCCAUGGGGCGCGACGUGUUCUGGGCCAUCCGUGGCGGCGGCGGCGGGAGCUUCGGCAUCGUGCUGUCGUGGAAGGUGAGGCUCGUGGCCGUGCCUCCGAGGGUGACGGUGUUCACCGUCGUCAAGACGGCCCGGGAGGGCGCCGCGGACCUCCUCGCCAAGUGGCAAGAGGUCGCCCCUGCUCUCCCCGACGACCUGCUGGUGAGGGUGGUCGUCCAGGGGGACAAGGCCAGGUUCCAGGCGCUGUACCUGGGCACCCGCGACGCGCUGCUGCCGGUGAUGAGCAGCCGCUUCCCGGAGCUGGGCGUGAACCCGACGCACUGCAAGGAGAUGUCGUGGAUCCAGUCGGUGCCCUACAUCUACAUCGGCGACACGGCCACCGUGGACGACAUCCUGAACCGGACCGUCGCCAGGGACUCCUCCCCGAGCAAGUCCACGUCCGACUACGUCCGGCGGGCCAUCUCCAGGGACGUGUGGGCGCGGAUCUUCUCCGACUGGCUGGCGAGGCGGGACGCGGGGCUGAUGAUCCUGGACCCCUACGGCGGGAGCAUCGCCAGCGUGGCGGAGUCGGCGACGCCCUUCUCGCACCGCGCCGGCGUGCUGUACAACGUGCAGUACAUGAACUUCUGGGGCGUGGGCGGCGACGGCGCGGCGCACACCAGGUGGAUCAGGGACAUGUACGCGUUCAUGGAGCCGCACGUGAGCAAGAACCCGAGGGAGGCAUACGUGAAUUACAGGGACCUUGACCUCGGCGAGAACGUCGUCGGCGCCGGCGGCGUGACGAGCUUCGAGGCCGGCAGGGUGUGGGGGGAGAAGUACUACUCCAAGGGCAACUUCAGGAGGCUCGCCAUGGCCAAGGGUCAGAUCGAUCCCCGCGACUACUUCAGGAGUGAGCAGAGCAUCCCGCCACUUGUUGGUGAGCAGCUGGAGCUGGAGCUGACCUCCUCGAGGAACGUGCCGCACGUUCAUGGCGUGAAUGCUCCUGCUUGGUGGGCAGGGGACUGUGGGACAGCAGGCAGUCUGUGUUCAGUCCUUAGCUCUGCCUUAACUAAGCUCAUGCCUACUUUCUCUUAG